rnacentral:tRNA from 1 species
GGGGAGUUCGCAUAGAGGCCGAUUGCACCGGGCUGUAAACCCGACGUCACAGACCGUAGAGGUUCGAAUCCUCUACUCCCCACCA